rnacentral:rRNA from 1 species
UACGAAGGGUGCAAGCGUUGCUCGGAAUUAUUGGGCGUAAAGGGUAGGUAGGUGGUAGUAAAAGUCUGGGGUGAAAUCCCUGAGCUCAACUCAGGACGUGCCUUGGAAACUUUACUACUAGAGUACUGGAGAGGUUCGUGGAAUUCCCGGUGUAGCGGUGAAAUGCGUAGAGAUCGGGAGGAACACCAGAGGCGAAGGCGGCGAACUGGACAGUAACUGACACUCAACUACGAAAGCGUGGGUAGCAAACAGG